UACGUAGGGUGCAAGCGUUGUCCGGAAUUAUUGGGCGUAAAGAGCUCGUAGGCGGUCUGUCGCGUCGGCUGUGAAAACCCGAGGCUCAACCUCGGGCCUGCAGUCGAUACGGGCAAACUAGAGUACUGCAGGGGAGACUGGAAUUCCUGGUGUAGCGGUGAAAUGCGCAGAUAUCAGGAGGAACACCGGUGGCGAAGGCGGGGUCUCUGGGCAGUAACUGACGC
rnacentral:rRNA from 1 species